rnacentral:rRNA from 1 species
UACGUAGGGGGCGAGCGUUGUCCGGAUUUAUUGGGCGUAAAGAGCUCGUAGGCGGCUUCGUAAGUCGGGUGUGAAAGCCCCGGGCUCAACCUGGGAACUGCAUUCGAGACUGCAUUACUGGAGUAUGGGAGAGGGCAGUGGAAUUUCCGGUGUAGCGGUGAAAUGCGCAGAUAUCAGGAGGAACACCAAUGGCGAAGGCAGCUCGCUGGGACGUGACUGACGCUGAGACGCGAAAGCGUGGGGAGCAAACAGG